rnacentral:lncRNA from 1 species
UGGGAGGGAAGAAAAAAUAUCAUCCGGACUUCGGAGUCCAAUCCCCUUUUUAGAGGGAGAUAUAGGAUUACCUGUGAUACGACGGGGCGAAAUUACCGUAUGGUUAAGCAUUUCGUCGGAAUUAAUGCACGAUCGUAUGUAUUAAUGGCUUGCCGUGUGAGAUCAGGUCGGAGCCAGGGAGUUGUCAUGACGGAUCGGACGUAGCCGAGCUGAGUUGCCGUGAAGAGCUUGAGGUCCGUAGAUAACAGGAGUCGCGUGCAUUAAUUGUUGAGUGAGCUGAGGGUUUGCAGAGACCAUGUGCAUUAAUUGUUGAGUGAGCCGAGGGUCUGCAGGGACCAUGCUCAUUAAUGGUUGAGUAAGCCAGAGGUCUGCAGAGGUCAUGCGCGUUAAUUGUUAGCGGCGGUGACAGGGUAUGGCCUCUGGUUAAGCUACAGAAGGAUGUGACCGUGGUGGGUGGGCGGCGAGGUCGGGCUUCCGAGGUCGGCGAACUCCGAGGUUGUGCGCCUGGUCGAGCGUUAGGCCGGGCGUCCAAGGUAGGGUGCUUAGACCGAAGUUGCGUGUCAGGUUGGGCGCCUUCAGUUCGGCCGCCCUCAGGUCAGACACUUAGAGGUCGGACGUUCUCAGGUCGGGCGCCGGCAGCCGGUUUACGGGCCUUGGGGCUGUUUAUUUUCCUCCAACACUACCCCCGACUUCCGAGAUCGAGCCGUUUGCGAGCUCGGGCGUGGGAAGUAGCUGCCUUAAUUGCGCUGGGGGCCAGGGGGUCUUAAAUUAUUUCGGCAUUCCGCGCGCUUCGGGGUUUCUUUAAUGAGAGGAGACGGGGCGACGUCCUGUCGUCCUUCGAGGCUGCCUCGUGUGGCGGGCUCGUAAUGGAGCUUCGGGAUCCGAUGGGACGCUGCAUGAUUCUGCAUUCGAAGCGUCUAUCCGGGUUAAGUGUGCCGUCUCGGCUUCCGAGGCCGACACGUGGCAAGAUCUGGCCAGAGGGCGGGAUUUAGUUUCGCUGAUCUGGACCGUUGGGGAGGUCUAUAUAAACUCCUUGCCUUAGCCCUAAGGUCUCGCUUGGCCGCUAUUGCUUUUUCUUUCUCACUCGUUUUCUCUCUUCUUCCUUUGUCCGACCGAGUCUCCCCGGCGGUGUGCUAAGGCGAUUUCCGGCGGCCGCCUCGUAGGUCUUUUUCCCACGUAGGCUCGGGGGUUCCCUUCUUCUCCUUCUUCUCCCCCUUAUUUCUCGUUUUCUUCUUUGCUUUCCUUCGGUUUUUUGUCUUUUCGGUCGUCCCUCUUCUUUUCUGGGAUGGGUCGUGGUCCUGGUGAGGUCGGGUCUAAACUGACCGAAGAGGAACUGGACUUGGUCCGUUCCCGGUUCUUUUUUCGGCCUGGGUUUCAUCUUGAGCCCGCAGGGUCGGAGGACCGGGUAACAAGGCCCCCUCCGAGCCGGAUCGAAGUAUACGUCGAGACACUCUGGGCCGGCCUUCGGUUCCCCCUUCACGAGUUCGUGAACGAGCUACUGGUGGAGUACCAGCUCAUCCCAGCUCAGCUCGCCCCGAACUCGUGGAGGACCAUUAUUGGGUUCAUAUCCCUUUGCCUUGCGCACGGGAUACCGACCCUGGUAGGUGUUUUCCGCCGGUGCUUUUUGUUAAAGUCAAACCCGGCGGACGGAGAGUGGCUAUACUUCGCCUUUCGAGGCGGUAUGUCCCUCUUCCGAGGUGCCCCCUCCUCUAUCCAUGACUGGAAGGAGAGAUUUUUCUUUCUUGCUUCCGUGCUCUCGUGGGGGUUUGACCCGAGAUGGGGGACUCCCCGACUGAAGGCUCUCAACCGGCUCACCGAUCUUUCGGCAGACGAGCAGAGGGCAUUUGAUGCCCUACGCGGCCUCGAGGGCGACAUCACUGUUACCGACCUCCUGAGUGAGGAGGCUUUGGUGAACGCCGGCCUAAGCUCGGCGCGCCCCGAGGGUAAGAGCGGUUGCAUUGCUUCCCUUGUUUUGCUAGUCUUUUCGCUCUUUUUCUUUCCUUAAUCAUUGAUCUUAAUACUUAGAAAGAUUAUUUCCUUUUCAGACGUUUCCAACAUGGUGACGAGCAAUACCGCGCUCUUCUCCCGCCUUAAGAGAAGGGCGGCCGAAGCUGGCGGGGCUCUUCCAGAGCCCAGGAAGAAGGCCAGGGCGGCCUCGACUUCCGCCCCUGCCGAGGCGAGGGGCUCCGGGGCCGGCCUUUCCAGAUCCGUCCGGGUUGAAGCCCCGGUUACCGAGCAGGCGAACUCGGGCUCAAAAAGGGGGGCGGGCCCGGCGUCCCCAGCGUGCCCUGUGCCUAUUUCCCAGCGGCCAAAUCGGCCAAUCGUCCGCCUGCAGCGUUCAGGCCCCCAGCCAAGCGGGGGCGACGGGGUUCCGAGCUCGUCGAGGGCUGGAGGUCGCGUCGAGGGGGAGUCCGAUGACUCGGAGUCCCCCAUUCGCGAGGGCAGCUCGGCCCUCCACGACAGCGAGGUCACGCGCGCGGUGUUUCGUCGCGCGCUUCUUCCGGCCGAUCGGGCCGAGUUCAGGUCCGUCGGCCUCACCGAGUUGGUCGACCAGACCUACUGUAAUGCUAACCGGGUAAGUUACUUCUUUCUCUAGUUUUGGUUGUGUGUCACUUCCUUGGCCUUAACUUACCGCUUCUUUCCUUUUCUGCAGCACCUCCACGAGAUUGACAACCUGGUAUUCAUAGCCUUGGAGUGCCAGAAUGAAUCUCGGCGAUUCCAGAGGCAGAUGGAGAUGUCCGAGAAGGGACUGGCCGAUUCUGAGGCAGCGCGGGCGGAGGCUGUCUCGCGGAUGAAGGCCGCCGAGGCCGAGCGACAAUCGGCGCUCAACCAACUGACUGAAGAAAAGGCUGCGCACACACUGGCGCGGUCCGAGUUGCGCGCCUCUGAGGCGCGUCUUGCCGAGGCCCGUGCCGAAGCCGCGGGCCAAAAGUAUGAGGGCGGAGUUCUCCGUCUAAAGAUCGAGCAGCUCGAAGCUCGAGAGAAAAGGGCGCUCGAGCGAGCUGAAAAGGCUGUGGAGCUCUUCAAGGAGUCGGAAAAGUUCCACGACAUGUUGGAGGAGGAGACCGUGGACGGGUUCCUCCGGGGCUUCGAGAAUUUUCGAAGGCAGAUGGCUCGGUACUGCCCCCAGCUCGAUCUUUCGGGGAUCCGUCUGAGGAUGGGGAUAGGCGCUGAGUCCGAGGACGACGUCCCUGCAAUUCUCGCAGCCGAGGAGGAGCUCGCCGAGGCCGAAGCUGAUAUGGCCGAUCAGGCGAUGUCGGAGGCUCCUCCCGGGGAGGUUGCCGAGGGCGCUCCCGAGGCUUCUAGCGAGGUACCAGCUGAGGCCGCUGCGGAGGGUUCCAAGCCAGCGCCUGCCGAAGGCUCUCAGGUUAUUACCAUAGAUGACCCUGAGGGUGACACUGGUGCAGCCGCCGCUCCCUAGACUUAGCUUUUCUUUUGUUUUUUCCCUUUGUGAGUGAGAUCGGCCUUCAAACUUGUUGUAUGGCCGGUCUCUGAUUUUGUAUUUCAGCCUUCGGGUUUUUAUUAAUGAAAGAACUUUCUUUAUGAAUUCAUGUCUACUUUUCUCUUCUCUGCUUAACGGAUAAGCCUUUAUUUUAACCAUUCGAGUUGAUUCCCUCCUGGCGGAUUCCUCUAAGUACUGGAGCUCGGCUAAACUCAUGGACUCAGGUUCGGGUUAUGUGUGCCAAACCAUCAAGCUUAGGUCCGAUGAAGAAUUUCUAGGCGUCGGGCUCAAAUCUUAGGAAGAUUCACUAAGUCUUCGAGCUCGAAUUCGGAGUUUGCCAGGCCCUCGAGCCUGGCUCCCAAAUUUCUAAGGCACCGAGCUCGAGCCUCGGACCCCAAGAGGGGUUUUGCCGGGCUUUCAGAUUCAUCUUCCGGAGUGUUCGGCCGUAGGUUCGCGGAAAGUUUUGGGAUCGGUCUCCGAGGAGACCGUGAAUCAAAGUUAAGUUGCUGCUGGGGCCUCCGCGGUAAUUGGCCCCGAGCCCAGUCGAGGUACCGACAAGUGGAAUGAAAAUAUAUGGUGGGUGCCUUGGCACUCCCGAGCUCGACCAGAGCAUCAAAGGUCGAGGUCAUCGCUACAAACGAACGUUGGCUUUUCGUGUUUGGGUUUGGCUGGGCCCUCAUUCAGAGUGGUUUGUGCGGGCUGAGAUGGAGAUCAUAAAUAAGGAGAGCAUGCGCGGGGUUGACGGGACCUCGGCCUUGGGUCGAUCCAAAAGGGCAUCCCGACCUUGGUCGGGGAAAGUCCCGAGGUUGAUCGAGAUCUCGCCAACGAUUCAUAAGCAAAUGGAUAUAAUGGAGCAGGCGCUAAGUGGGAUGUACCGCUUGUGCCUUCGAAGUCGAGCGCCCAAUGUUGAAGCAAGCCGCUUGGCUCCUCAGCCAGCUUUCAGAGGCAUUUUUUGGCCUGGGGUCCGCUUAGGGAACGCCGGCAUGCUGGGAGAUGUCGCUACCGUCGGGACUUUGCGUAGAUGUCAUUCCGCCGUCGUCGUUAGAUAUCACGGAGAACCGCGAAGGUACUACCCCAUCUUCCCGAGGUCGAGAGAGCUCGGGCUCGCUGUCGACCUAAUAAUGCUUCCCGGGGUCGAGGGAGUUUGGGACUCUACGGUCGACACACGGGGCAUCCCGACCUUAGUCGAGGAAUUGNNNNNNNNNNNNNNNNNNNNNNNNNNNNNNNNNNNNNNNNNNNNNNNNNNNNNNNNNNNNNNNNNNNNNNNNNNNNNNNNNNNNNNNNNNNNNNNNNNNNNNNNNNNNNNNNNNNNNNNNNNNNNNNNNNNNNNNNNNNNNNNNNNNNNNNNNNNNNNNNNNNNNNNNNNNNNNNNNNNNNNNNNNNNNNNNNNNNNNNNNNNNNNNNNNNNNNNNNNNNNNNNNNNNNNNNNNNNNNNNNNNNNNNNNNNNNNNNNNNNNNNNNNNNNNNNNNNNNNNNNNNNNNNNNNNNNNNNNNNNNNNNNNNNNNNNNNNNNNNNNNNNNNNNNNNNNNNNNNNNNNNNNNNNNNNNNNNNNNNNNNNNNNNNNNNNNNNNNNNNNNNNNNNNNNNNNNNNNNNNNNNNNNNNNNNNNNNNNNNNAGUUUGGGACUUUACGGUCGACACACGGGGCAUCUCGACCUCAGUCGAGGUUUUUGAGGGAGACCGGGACCGAGCUCGAUAUCGACGCGGCGGGGCGUUCCAGGCUCUGCUGGGGCAUUCGAGCUUGGUCGGGCAUUCGAGCUUAGUCGGGCAUCCGAACUUGGUCGGGCAUCCUGAGAUUCACGGACAUCACGUUGUCAGGAAGAGUAUGAAAUAAUUAAUGGAGAACCGUAAGCGAAUUAUCAUAAGUGGAGGGUGAGAGUUGUAUUCCCAUUUGUCGACGACCCCCGAAGAGUCUAUUGGUAGUACAUCCGAAGAUUCUUGGAGUUCCAGCUUUGAGGGAUGAAAGUUCCCUCAAGAGAUUCCAAUUUGUACGCUCCGGGCCGCUGGACUCGCGCGACCCGGUAAGGUCCUUCCUAAUUUGGGGCUAGCUUCCCUUGUUCAGUCGACUGAGAGGCUUCAGCUCUUCUGAGGAUAAGAUCCCCCACUUUGAAAAGCUUGAGCUUGACUUUGGAGUUGUAGUACUAGGCCGUUUUCUGCUGGUAUCUCGCCAUGCGGACUCGGACGACUUUCCUUGUCUCUUCGACGAGGUCCAAGUUGUUCCUGAGCCGAGAAGAGUUGGAGUCGGCAUCGUAAUGCUCCACUCUCAGGGACGGGAGACCGACUUCCAGAGGAAUAACGGCUUCCGUCCCGUAUGCCAGGUUGAAAGGGGUUUCGCCUGUGGGUAGUCGGAACGUAGUCCGGUAGGCCCAGAGAACGUUGUACAAGUCCUCGACCCACUGUCCUUUGGACCGAUCGAGCCGACCUUGAGCCUCUGCAAAAUGGUGCGAUUUGUUACCUCGAUUUCUCCAUUUGUUUGGGGAUGGGCGACCGAGGUGAAGCGGUAGUCGAUGCCGAGCUCGAAGCAAAAUUCUCUGAAGCGCAUGUUGUCAAACUGGCGACCAUUAUCAGAUAUAAGGAUGCGGAAAAGUCCAAAUCUACAUAUGAUCGACUUCCACACAAAGUCCCGCAUCUUUUGCUCGGUGAUCCGGGCCACCGGUUCAGCUUCGAUCCACUUGGUGAAGUAGUCGAUGGAGACAACCAGAAAUUUUUUCUGUCCGGUUGCCAGAAAAAACGGCCCCAGGAUGUCGAUUCCCCACUGGGCGAAUGGCCAGGGGACACCGAUCGAGGUCAGCGAGGCCGAGGGUCGGCGUUGGAUAUUGGCGUUUCGCUGGCAUCGGUCGCAUUUUCGAACGAAGUCCGUUGCGUCCUUUUGGAGUGUGGGCCAAAAGUACCCUUGGCGCAAAAUUUUAUGAGCCAGUGCUCGGCCUUUCAGAUGGUUCCCACAUAUCCCUUCAUGGACCUCUCGCAUAGCAUAGUCCGCCUCUGACGGACGGAGGCAUCUGAGGAGAGGAGAGGUGAAGGAUUUUCGGUAGAGCUUGCCUUCAUAUAAUAUAAAUCGGGAGGCUAGACGUCUAACUCGGCGAGCCUCGAGCUCAUCAUUGGGGAGGACUUCACUUUGAAGAUAAUUGACAAGCUCGUCCAUCCAAUUGGCUCGGCGUCGAUGUGCAUAGUCGGUUCAGGCUCUUCCGUGCUGGGUGUUUGGAGAUAUUCAAGCGCCGUCGCCUUUGGGAGCUCGCUCAUACGGAAGGUCGCCAACUUCGACAGUUCGUCUGCUCUCAGGUUCUCUGACCUGGGAAUAUGCUGGAUGUUGAAGGAGCCUAGGAUGGAUGUGAGGUCUCGCACUUUUCGGAGAUAUUUCUGCAUCGAUGGCUUCUUCGCUUCAAAAUCUCCCAGAACCUGGCUCACGACCAGUUGGGAGUCACUGAAGACCUUCAGGUCUUCUGCCUUCAACUCCUUCGCCAACUUGAGCCCGACAAUGAGCGCCUCAUAUUCCGCCUCAUUGUUAGAAGCCGGAAACUCAAGGCGUAGGGCCUGCUCUGCCACCACCCCAUCUGGGCUUGUAAGGAUAAGACCGGCUCCGCUACCCUCCGAGGUUGAGGAGCCGUCCACAUAUAGCAUCCAUGGUAGCCCCGGGGUCUCCUUUGUUGGCAUGAGUGGGUGCUCGGGGUCGUCCGGCAAAGUGCACUCCACGAUGAAAUCGGCGAGCGCCUGGGCUUUGAUUACCGGCCUUGGACGGUAUUCGAGGUCGAACUCCCCGAGCUCGACUGCCCAUUUGGCAAUCCUUCCGGCACGGUCCGACCUCGGCAAGAUUUGCUUUAUAGGCUGGUCAGUCAGUACGGCCACAAUGUGGGCCUAAAAGUAGGGCCGAAGUCUCCGAGCUGAAGUGAUCAAAGCGAAGAUUGUUUUCUCCAAUUUGGAAUAUCGGGUCUCAGGGCCUCUGAGAACCCGGCUGGUAUAGUAGACAGGCCUCUGGAGCUUGUCCUCUUCCCGGACCAGGACUGAGCUUACUGCGAUCGGGGAGACGGCCAAGUACAAAUAAAGGACUUCGCCUUGCUGAGGCUUGGUGAGUAGCGGAGGGGAGGCAAGAAGGCACCUAAGCUCUUCAAAGGCUUGCUGGCACUCCUCCGUCCAUAGGAAGUUCUUUGGUCGUUUAAGGAUCUUGAAGAAUGGGAGGCAGCGCUCGGCCGACCUGGAGACAAAUCUCCCCAAAGCCGCGACCCGCCCGAUAAGCCUCUGCACUUCCUUGACCGUCUUUGGAGGUACCAUCUCUUGCAGUGCUCGGAUCUUCUCGGGAUUAGCUUCGACUCCACGCUGGGUCACUACGAAGCCCAGGAAUUUGUCCGAGGUGACUCCGAACGCACAUUUUGCAGGAUUGAGCUUCAUUUGGUACUUCCUGAGCUGGGAGAAUGUUUCAUUGAGGUCGGCCACGUGGUGCUCUGUGGUUCGGCUUUUCACCAGCAUGUCAUCCAUGUAGACCUCCAUAUUUCGGCCUAUCUGAUCUUUGAAGAUUCGGCUGACCAGUCUUUAAUAUGUAGCUCCUGCAUUCUUCAGUCCGAACGGCAUCACCUUGUAACAAUAAGUACCCUUGUCGGUGAUGAAAGCCGUCUUCUCCUCAUCCUCAAGUGCCAUUCGGAUCUGAUUGUAUCCCGAAAAGGCGUCCAUGAAGGUCAGCAGCUGAUAUCCCGAGGUCGAGUCGACAAGCUAGUUGAUGCUGGGAAGGAAAAAACUAUCCUUUGGGCAGGCCUUGUUCAGGUCGGUGUAGUCUACGCACAUACGCCAUUUUCUAUUGGCUUUCUUCACGAGGACCACGUUGGUGAGCCAGUCCAGAUAGGAGACCUCCCGGAUGAAGCCGGCCUCGAGGAGUCUGUCUACUUCCUCGGCCGCCGCUUGCUGUCGUUCCGGGGCUGAGCCUCGCUUCUUUUGCCUCACGGAUCUGCAGGUUGGUUUCACCUGGAGUCGGUGAACCAUGACCUCGGGGUCGAUUUCCGGCAUGUCGGCGGGCGACCAGGCGAAGACAUCCAUGUUGGCCUGGAGGAAUUUGAUCAGGCGCUCCCUUUCGCAGGAGCUCAAGCCGGAGCCAACCUGCACGGUUAGCUCAGGAUAAUUUUCCUAUAAAGGGAUUCGGGCAAGAAGCUCACCAGGCUCUACCCGCUUCUUCCAGAGGUCGUUCCGUACGUCUAAGGUUUCAAUGGGCAACAUGCGAUCCAUUGCUUGAGUUGGUGCCUCGGCUGGUAGCUCCUGUUGGUUUGACGCCUCGACCGGUGGUUUUGCUUUGCAGGUCGCCAUGUAGCACUGCUUGGCCACCGCCUGGUCUCCAUGGGCUUCGCCUAUCCCGUAAUUGGUGGAGAACCGCACGAGCAAGUGAUAAGUUGAGACCACAGCCCGGAGGGCGUUCAGUCCCGGCCUUCCCAAAAUGGCAUUGUAGGCUGAAGGCAGGUGGACUACAAGAAAAUCCGUUCUCACGGUGCUUUCUCGAGGGGCGAGCCCAGCUAUGACAAGAAAACUGACCUCGCCCUCAACCGGGACUGAGUCCCCGGUAAAUCCAACUAGUGGGGCGUUCAUCCUCCGAAGCUGAUUUUCUGUCAGCCCCAUUUUUUGAUAGACAUUGUAGUACAAAACAUUUGCCGAACUCCCAUUAUCAACCAAGACGCGCUUUACAUCGAAUUUAUUUACAAUCAUAGAGAUGACCACAGCGUCAUCGUGAGGGGUCUUAACCCCUUCCAAGUCCUCGUCCGAGAACGAGAUGACUUCAGAAGUGCGCAGACGCUUCGAUGGAACCCCUUCUUCGGCUGGCUCUUCAGCCGAGCUCCCUCCUCCAAUGACAUUGAUGGUGCCGGCGAUGGGCCUGUUGUCAUUUGGAUUUUCGGACGGCACGGCGUUUUCCACUGGCCUCCUUUCCUCACGUCGGUUCCUCACAAACCGAUUGAGCACCCCGCGGCGGAUAAGCGCCUCGAUCUCGUCUCGGAGCUGAAAACAAUCCUCCGUAUCGUGGCCGUGGUCCCGGUGGAAGCGGCAGUACUUCCUAGGGUUGCGUGGGAUUCCUACAUCGCGCAUCGGAGGCGGGGGUCGGAAGAAGUCCCGACCCUCGAUCUCCAUUAGGAUCUCGGCCCGGGGCGCGUUGAUGGGAGUGUAAUUCUCGUACCUCCCCGGGUGCAUUCGAGGCCGUGGCGGGGAUCUUAGUCGAGGCGGGGACCUUGGUCGAAGCCGUCCCUGCUGCCGAGGCGGGUUCUUCAGCCGAGGCAGGUUCCUAUCCCGGCGGGGAGAACGGCUUCUCGGGUGGCCAUGCUCCUCACGGCGCUUCCUUUACUUCUUUGAGGCCGGCUCGAUCGCGCCCCGCCUAGAGGCAAUAGCCUCCUCGGCCUUCACAUAUUUUCGAGCUCGGACCAGCAUUUCGGUGAAGUCGGCGGAAAAGCUCUUCUCGAUGGAGAAGAGAAAUCUGUAGGAGCGAGCGCCGGUCUUCAGUGCCGACAUGGCUAUCGACUGGUCGAGCUCACGGACCUCCUAGGUCGCAGCGGUGAAGCGGUCAAGAUAUUCUCUGAAGGAUUCCCCCUCCUUUUGUUUGACGUCCCGGACGGAAUCCAAUGUCCGCCGCUAACAUCGGCUGGCAGCGAAGUUGGUGGCGAACUGCCGGCCGAGCUGCUCGAAAGAAGAUACCGAGCUCGGCUUCAGUCCAGAGAACCAAAGCCGAGCGGUUCCCCGAAGGAUAGCUGGGAAGGCCUUGCAAAGCACAGCCUCCGAGGACCCUUGCAAUGCCAUGAGGGCUCGGUAGCUCUCCAAGUGGUCAAGGGGGUCGGCAGUUCCGUUGUAGGGCUCCACUUGGGGCAUUUUGAAUCUCGGUGGGACCGGCUCACCCUCGAUUUGGCGGAAAAAGGGGAACUUGGUGGUGAACUCAAAAUCACCCUCGCGCCUUGCCUUCCUGUUAUGAAGCGCUUCAAUCUGGCGCUCCAGGUUCUCGACCUUCCUGUCGAGCUCCCCAACCUGGGGGAUUGUCACGGUAACCUGCUCCGGUUCGUGGCGGUCCGGAGCCGACUCAGCCUCCGAAGGCUGCGGCCUUCUGCCUAGGCUUCUUUCCGGCAGUUCUCUCCGGAGAGACGCUCGUUCUUCAUUAUUAGCCCUGGAGGAGACAUGAAAACUUUGGCCCUGGAGGAUCGGUCUAUUUGGAGGAAGCACCGGUUGGGCCAGGGCCUGUGGAGGUAGCAUGGGUGAGGCUUCCUCACGCCGCAGGCCUUGGACGACGGCGGCCAAAGCCUGGACCUGCUGCGCCAGGAUGCUGAACUGUUAUGGCUGGACUUGGGGAACCGGAUCAGCCGGAGGCGGCGAGUUCUGGACGGAAUGUCCAGGGCUUGGUGGAAGACGCCGGAAAACAUUGGAGGCUCCUUUACUUCUCAACUUCAUGGCCGCGACUCGGGCCCUUCCUCUAGCGCCAACUGUUGCUGAAAACUGGACCCGGGGGCGACCGGUCCGCUAGGAAGGAGGAGCUCCGGCAAGAACUGGCGGGCGGCGAUCCAUCAACGAGCGGCGUCCUCCGCAAGUGGCCUGCAAAAAGCCGGUGGCCGGGGUUUCCGGCGCCAGCCCUCCGAUGGCUAAGUCAGAGGGGGCAAGUGUAUUCAAAAGUGGGAGGGGAGAAAAAAUAUCACCUAGACUUCGGAGUCCAAUCCCCCUUUUUAUAGGGAGAUAUAGGAUUACCUGUGAUAUGAUGGGGGAAAUUACCGUAUGGUUGAGCAUGUCGUCGGAAUUAAUGCACGAUCGUAUGUAUUAAUGGCUUGCCGUGUGAGAUCAGGUCGGAGUCAGGGAGCAGUCAUGACGGAUCGGACGUAGCCGAGCUGAGUUGCCGUGAAGAGCUCGAGGUCCGUAGAUAACAGGAGUCGCGUGCAUUAAUUGUUGAGUGAGCUGAGGGUUUGCAGAGACCAUGUGCAUUAAUUGUUGAGUGAGCCGAGGGUCUGCACGGACCAUGCUCAUAAAUGGUUGAGUAAGCCAGAGGUCUGCAGAGAUCAUGCGCGUUAAUUGUUAACGGCGGUGACAGGGUAUGGCCUCUGGUUAAGCUUCAGAAGGAUGUGACUGUGGUGGGUGGGCGGCGAGGUCGGGCUUCCGAGGUCGGCGAACUCCGAGGUCGUGCGCCUGGUCAGGCGUCAGGCCGGGCGUCCGAGGUAGGGUGCUUAGACCGAAGUUGCGUGUCAGGUUGGGCGCCUUCAGUUCGGCCGCCCUCAGGUCAGACACUUAGAGGUCGGACGUUCUCAGGUCGGGCGCCGGCAGCCGGUUUACGGGCCUUGGGGCUGUUUAUUUUCCCCCAACAACCGUUAUGUUGUCUUGUCAAGGAGUGUCCAUGACUCUUGAGGAGCUUAGGGCUCGUUUGGUUCGGAGGAAAGUGUGGUCAACAGGAAAGUAAUGAGAUGCCUCUUGUUUAGUUAGAAUUUUUAAAGAAGAGAGACAAAAAAGUUGUAUUUGCAUGGAAAUAUGAUUCCCACAUUUCAUUAAAAAGUCUUUUCCAUGAAAAACAUGGAAAAGUUACUUUUCUAUGAGUCGAAAAUCACUCCAUUCUUAUUUUUUUCCAAAAAGGCCCUUCAUUAUUAAAAAGACAUUAAAGACCUAAUUUUUAUUAAGAAUAUAAUAGAAAUUAUACAUAACUUUUUCAUAAAAGUGGAUGGUCAACCAAACAUAAACACUCUGAAAAUCUGUCACUUUCUCAUGAUCAACCAAGCAUGCCAAAAGUACUUUUUCAGGCAUGCUCUUUCUAGAAAUCUGCUUCCUAAGAAUUAUAUUCCUUGGAGGAAAAAUGUUUUCCGCGAACCAAACGAGCCCUUAGAGUUUUCAGGUGUCUGACAUGCCAGAAACUAUACGCUUAGAGAGUUUCCUGGCAACCAAAGUGCAGGGACUCACGUAAAUCAAAAAUCUGAAAUCAUUCCACCAAGAAAGCAAAAUCUUUCCAGGUGCAACUGGGGACUUGAGGGAAGAAGAUGGCAUCUUGUUUCACAACUCAUUAUGCCAACUCAAUGCUAAAGUCGCUUCAACACAUUGAACUCUUGGAGUUAUUCGGCAAGACAGGGUCGAUAAAACUAUGAUAAUGGACAUGAAUCAAAAUCUAUCAAGAAAAGUGCCUCUAAGAGAACGAAAUGAUGACCCAUUAAUCAAGAGGGCGAACAGGACGAACUUUUGCAGCGCAUUUGGAAGCGUAACAUGAAACAGUCAAGAAAAACAAGAAAUUAAAGAAGAUGGAUGAAGGAAGAGAGGAUGACCUACCAGUAGAUCCCGUCGAGAUAUCUGGUUUAAAAUAUCUUGAUCUCACCAAGAAACAGCAAUGGAGAUUGAAAUAAAGCAGGUGCCUCCAAGAAUUCGAGUAAAUAGAAUUCAGAUACAUCGAUUACAUCGGUCCAGAGACGGCCAUCUGAAAUCUUCAAAACAAGGAACGAGAUCUCAAUAUCUUUCAAAUAAAUCAAAAGCAACAAUCGCAAGAAAAAGAGAGGAGAGCAAUUAAGGCGGCCGAUCAAGAAGAGAGUCGAAGCUCACCAAAGAG